AUGGGAACAAAAAAAUGAAUUUUUUUCCAAGAUCUCAGUUGCGAGAGAUAUCUAGAGAGGCGCUUUGGAGAACGGAGAUGCACGGCUUCUGCGACAGCUCCACACACCCCUAUGGAUUCGUCGUCCUGGUUGACGGCGUGCUGGGCUACCUCCACCGCGGCAGCACCGACUCCCUGGCGGGCGGUGCCGACCUAGGCGGGCUCCUCUAGAAAAGAGACCAAUCUUUUGGUGUGGUGGAUGUGUGGCGACCGCCUCCGACGGCAAUUCGGCUCCGGCAUGAUUGCCAGUCCGAGGCUCUCCGGCUUCGCCAUGACCACGGGUUCGCCUCCCACGACUCUCCGAGAUUGAAUUGUCCCGUUACAGGUUGGUUCCUAUGGCUUUGGCCGCCGGCCCUUCUUCUUUGACGGCAGGACCGCUGAUGCACCUCACCUAUUCUUUUCAUCUCCUCCCCUAUUGACUACUGUCUCCGUUCCUAAAAGUGUAGGUAGAGGAGAACAUGGUGUUCCUUUUCCCCCCAAUUGGCACUGUAGUAUGUAUGAGCCCUCUAUGGUUGUUGUUUAUUUGUAUGCAGAGGCAUGCUCGCCCUCAAGAUGACCCAUCUAUGGACUGACACUCUCAAGCCUCCACAUCGACUUUACCAAAUCGGCUUCAGAGAUUGUGCAAUGAUCUUUGCGCUGGUCCAAUUUUGAUUGAUUCGUGAAUAUGGGUAACACUAAACUACUUCUUUCCUUUUUUGCGAAAACUAACUAUCUCUAAUUCUCUAUACGAUUACUGAACUUUUAUCCAUACUUUUUACAGUUAUAUCAAAGCCACAAGAACUCACAACGUUCUUUUCCAACAGUUAAGAUAGGGCUUCUAUAAUUUAUUUUGAUCCAAACCACUUGUAGUAUUUUGGGCUUAGUUCUGUAGCCUUUUGUUGUUAUUAUUAUCUGAUGCAAGAUUAUUUUCUUCCAUUUACUAUCCACUUUUUUCUAAUCUUUUAUUAGAUCGUUGACAACUUCAUCUCCCUCCUGCAGUUAGUGACAACUUUGUCUCUCUCCAGAGGCGACCAAGCUGAUCUGCAGUUAGUGACAACUUCGUUUUAUUUUAAUGCACAGAUAACCGGUACUCUCCAUACAUGUGGAUAUCCAAUCACAACACUCAAUCCAAGAAAUGCAGCCUUCAAGUACCUGGUAUGCUACACAUCCCUCAGUGCCAAACUUGGGAUUUUCAUUUUGUUUUUGAAUUGAUGUCUAACCUUUGCAAAUACUGAGAGGAAGACGAGCAACGUGAUCCAGUAUUGGAACUUGGAAGUAGCAUCACUAUUUUUCAUGUGUUGCACUCAUAGGCAAGAUCUCCUUUUCUUGGUUUAUUUAACUAUAUGUUCAUAUGUGAUUUAGAUUUACACUAUGUUUUUUCUCAAAAUUCCGUUAUAGGUCCAGGCAUCACAUAUUAAUGAUCGUGCUUCCUAUUGGUGUUUUAUUCACAUGACAAAACAAGUACUAUUUUCAUGUUCGUAAUAAUGUACCCCUUCCUCUUAUUUGAUGAAAACAGCAAGAGCAUUGCCAAUGCAUAAAAGGAGAAGAAAGACAUAAGAUUACAAGUAGAAACAGGUUCUAUACCUUGCCUGAAUCCUAAUUAUGGAUUACUCAGUUGACAUGGACUCUCUUAUUUAUUCCCACUGGUGUAUACCAUACAAUGCCAUGUUAUUAUGUAUCGAAUAUAUUUCUUUGCAUUAAUGCUAUCGAUUUCCCGGUCCUGUCAUGUUUUCUUUGGUGCAGUUUCCUACUUUUUUUAUUCCACAACAUUCCUUCUCCCAACCGAAUCUGCACUCCAACAGCCAAUUUCCCUUACUAUCUUCUCUCUCUCACAUUGAUUUUUUUUGCAUUUUUAACACAAAUUAUGUUAGUUUAUGAGUGGUAGUUCAAUCUCUAUCCCAUGCUUAUAUCAAUGGGAUUGAAUCUCAUGUAUAAUAGCCUUUGUUUCUUCACGUCUUUCAGUGGAUGUCCAUUCUUCUGCUACUGCACUUUCAUACAUCCUUUGUUUGUUGUAAUUUGAUUUGUGGUGCUGAAGGUCACUAUUACUUAUUUUUGUUGAGAUAUAUUGCCCUGGUCAACUUUUGAACUAUUUGUUUCCCUUUGUGAUGAUAACAUUUUUAGUUUGAAAAAUCAGAUUAUUGAUGAAUUGAUCAGGUCUACUCCGUUCGACAUCUUAACAUGAUGAAAGAAGUACCUCCGCCAAAAAGAAAAGCAUGGUAUAAAAAUACCAUCUGAAGGCAAAAAUAAUCUCUUCAAGAUUUCAAGUGCCUUAUAUGGAAUGCCACUUCCUACUCUAUAUGUAUUACAAAUUCACUGUUGACUCUAAUUUUGUGUGACAUACAGUACUGUUAUGUAUAACAGCUCACAAAUUAUGCUAUUUAUAUCACCUUACUAUGUGUUACC
rnacentral:rRNA from 1 species